UACAGAGGGGGCAAGCGUUGUUCGGAAUUACUGGGCGUAAAGGGCGCGUAGGCGGCCUGUUAAGUCGGACGUGAAAUCCCUCGGCUCAACCGGGGAACUGCGUCCGAUACUGGCGGGCUUGAAUCCGGGAGAGGGAUGUGGAAUUCCAGGUGUAGCGGUGAAAUGCGUAGAUAUCUGGAGGAACACCGGUGGCGAAGGCGGCAUCCUGGACCGGCAUUGACGCUGAGGCGCGAAAGCCAGGGGAGCAAACGGG
rnacentral:rRNA from 1 species